UUACUUUGGUGACAUGUAACAGUACUAAAAUUGGAAUGAUACAGAGAAAAUUAGUAUGGCCCCUGUGCAAAGAUAAUUCCAUAUUUUCUUCCCUAGCCCACUGCUUU